rnacentral:lncRNA from 1 species
AAAAAGCCCCAUCAUAGGAAGGACUAUGGAAGAAAGGAAAAAGCUUUAUAGUUCACUACUCUUCACAGCACUUUUCUUGCUGCUUUUUUCAGAAGAGGUUGCAUUUUCACUUUGCACUAGACCCGACAAUUUAUGUAGCUGAUGCUGGUACCAGAAGAAUCUGAGCAGGAAACGAAUCUGGUCAAAGCACGUGGUUGGAUUUUCGUGACCCAGUGCUUCCAAAAGGCCAAACCUCACCUCUGCUCCACCUGCCCCCACUCUUGGAUCCAGCAGCCUCACACUUCCCAGGCCUCUGCCCUGACAUCUGCCUCCCUAGAAGGAUGAAGAGCAGUAGCGCCUGGAAUUCCAACCAUCUGCCACAGUCUUGCAUGGCACAGGUGAGUUUUGUGGGAGAUGGGGUGGGGUGGAGAGUAGACAACGUUUCUGGCAUUUUCACAAAUGGCCACUCUGAUGCUGGCCUCUCGCUCUGUCCUGCCAGCAAAGGGUCAGACUAGGUGGUGGCC